rnacentral:ribozyme from 2 species
UUACUAACUCCGUCUGUAGCCCUCUGAGGGCUACUGCCGGUCUCAAGCCCGGAUAGAGGAGGAGGGUUGG